UAAGGAAUAUUGGUCAAUGGACGCAAGUCUGAACCAGCCAUGCCGCGUGAAGGAUGAAGGUCCUCUGGAUUGUAAACUUCUUUUAUCUGGGACGAAAACGGGAUUUUUAUCUCAAUUGACGGUACCAGAGGAAUAAGCACCGGCUAACUCCGUGCCAGCAGCCGCGGUAAUACGGAGGGUGCGAGCGUUAUCCGGAUUUACUGGGUUUAAAGGGUGCGUAGGUGGGCUUAUAAGUCAGUGGUGAAAUCUCCGAGCUUAACUUGGAAACUGCCGUUGAUACUAUAGGUCUUGAAUUAUCUGGAGGUAAGCGGAAUAUGUCAUGUAGCGGUGAAAUGCUUAGAUAUGACAUAGAACACCAAUUGCGAAGGCAGCUUACUACAUAUAAAUUGGCGCUGAGGCACGAAAGCGUGGGGAUCAAACA
rnacentral:rRNA from 1 species